ensembl:miRNA
AAGACUAUACUUUCAGGGAUCAUUUCUAUAGUUUGAUACUUGAGAAAUG